rnacentral:rRNA from 1 species
GACGAACGCUGGCGGCGUGCCUAAUACAUGCAAGUUGAGCGAUGAAGAUUGGUGCUUGCACCAAUUUGAAGAGCAGCGAACGGGUGAGUAACGCGUGGGGAAUCUGCCUUUGAGCGGGGGACAACAUUUGGAAACGAAUGCUAAUACCGCAUAAUAACUUUAAACAUAAGUUUUAAGUUUGAAAGAUGCAAUUGCAUCACUCAAAGAUGAUCCCGCGUUGUAUUAGCUAGUUGGUGAGGUAAAGGCUCACCAAGGCGAUGAUACAUAGCCGACCUGAGAGGGUGAUCAGCCACAUUGGGACUGAGACACGGCCCAAACGCCUACGGGAGGCAGCAGUAGGGAAUCUUCGGCAAUGGACGAAAGUCUGACCGAGCAACGCCGCGUGAGUGAAGAAGGUUUUCGGAUCGUAAAACUCGGUUGGUAGAGAAGAACGUUGGUGAGAGUGGAAAGCUCAUCAAGUGACGGUAACUACCCAGAAAGGGACGGCUAACUACGUG